rnacentral:rRNA from 1 species
AUGGGAACGCGAAGAACCUUACCUAGACUUGACAUCUCCUGAAUAGUGUAGAGAUACAUGAAGCCCUUCGGGGCAGGAAGACAGGUGGUGCAUGGUUGUCGUCAGCUCGUGUCGUGAGAUGUUGGGUUAAGUCCCGCAACGAGCGCAACCCUUAUUACUAGUUGCUACCAUUAAGUUGAGCACUCUAGUGAGACUGCCCGGGGUUAACCGGGAGGAAGGCGGGGAUGACGUCAAAUCAUCAUGCCCCUUAUGUCUAGGGCAACACACGUGCUACAAUGGUGAGUACAGAUAGAUGCGAUACCGCAAGGUGGAGCCAAACUCUAAAACUCAUCCCAGUUCGGAUUGUAGGCUGCAACUCGCCUACAUGAAGUUGGAGUUGCUAGUAAUCGCGAAUCAGAAUGUCGCGGUGAAUACGUUCCCGGG